GGGCUCGUAGCUCAGCACGGUAGAGCGACGGACUCUUAAUCCGUUGGCCGUGGGUUCAAAUCCCGCCGAGCCCG
rnacentral:tRNA from 2 species